AUUGAACGCUAGCGGGAUGCUUUACACAUGCAAGUCGAACGGCAGCGCGGACUUCGGUCUGGCUGCGAGUGGCGAACGGGUGAGUAAUGUAUCUGAACGUGCCCGGUGUGGGGGUUUAAUAACCCGAAGAGUUAGCUAAUACUACCGCCUCCCUACGGGGGAAGCAUGGGGGGGGUAAGACCUUCCACAUUUGGGGGGGUCGAUUUGGGGUUAGCUAGUUGGUUAGUUAACGGCUCACCAAGGCGACGAUCCGUGGCUGGUUUGAGAGGACGACCGGCCACACUGGGACUGAGACACGGCCCAGACUCCUACGGGAGGCAGCAGUGGGGAAUGUUGGACAAUGGGGGCAACCCUGAUCCAGCCAUCCCGCGUGUGAGAUGAAGGCCUUCGGGUUGUAAAGCACUUUUGGCAGGAAAGAAACGUCGCGGGCUAAUACCCCGUGGAACUGACGGUACCUGCAGAAUAAGCACCGGCUAACUACGUG
rnacentral:rRNA from 1 species